CCUACGGGAGGCAGCAGUGAGGAAUAUUGGUCAAUGGACGAGAGUCUGAACCAGCCAAGUAGCGUGAAGGAUGACUGCCCUGUGGGUUGUAAACUUCUUUUAUAUGGGAAUAAAACGUUCCAUGUGUGGGAUUUUGUAUGUACCAUAUGAAUAAGGAUCGGCUAACUCCGUGCCAGCAGCCGCGGUAAUACGGAGGAACCGAGCGUUAUCCGGAUUUAUUGGGUUUAAAGGGAGCGUAGGUGGAUUGUUAAGUCAGUUGUGAAAGUUUGCGGCUCAACCGUAAAAUUGCAGUUGAAACUGGCAGUCUUGAGUACAGUAGAGGUGGGCGGAAUUCGUGGUGUAGCGGUGAAAUGCUUAGAUAUCACGAAGAACUCCGAUUGCGAAGGCAGUUCACUGGACUGCAACUGACACUGAGGCUCGAAAGUGUGGGUAUCAAACAGGAUUAGAUACCCCUGUAGUC
rnacentral:rRNA from 1 species